rnacentral:rRNA from 1 species
AUGGAAGCUUCAAUAUCUGUAGUCGCAGGUGAACUAGUGAGUCGUUUCAUCUCCUUCCUGAUGAACAAGUACCACUCCUCCUUGAGCCAUGCACAGUCAGAGGAGAAGCUGGUGGAGAGAUUGCAGAACCUCCUGAUGAGAGUCAGCAUGAUCGUUGAGGAAGCAGAUGCGCGGUACAUAACAAAUUCUGGGAUGUUGUUACAGCUCAAGAUACUCUCAGAGGCCAUGUACAAAGGAUACCGCGUGCUGGACACCUUGAGGUACCAAAACCUCCAAGACAGUGCAGGCAUUAACGAGGUUAGCAUCAACGACUCAUCUAGCAGCAGCUUGUACUUAUCUAUUCCUGUCAAGCGUUCUCGAACAAAAGCUGAGAAGGAUGAGAAGGCCAUGCGCCUCGAGUAUGGUGCCUUGAAAAGCUUAGAAAUUGUUGUUGCUAACAUGGCAGAAUUUGUAGUGCUUCUGGGUGGAUGCGAGCACAUGUCUCGUAGGCCAUAUGAUGCUUAUCUUUACACAAAAAACUUCAUGUUCAGCCGACAUGCUGAAAAACAAAAGCUCUUGAGCUUCUUGUUGGAGCACAAGAACCCUCCUGGUGAUCAUGCGCCGGCAGUUCUUCCGAUCAUAGGUGGUUUUGGAGUUGGGAAGAAAACAUUGGUUGCUCAUGUGUGUGGCGACGAAAGGGUUCGGUCACGCUUCUCUAUUUUGCACUUGAAUGGAGAUAGACUCUUAACAAUACUUGACCAUGGAAGGACCAUGUCUGGGACGAUGUUGGUAGUUAUUGAGUUUGCUUCUGAUGUAGGUGAAGAUGAUUGGAAAAAGUUUCACUUGUUUCUCAAUAGAAUGAGCGGUGGAAGCAAGACCAUCAUUAUAAGUAAACUUAAAAGAUUAGCCCGGUUUGGAUCUGUGAAUCCUAUUUUCCUAGGUGUUUUGUCUUACGAUGAGUUGAGGUACCUUUUCAAGACACUGGCAUUCGAUAGCGCAGACCCCGCAGAACAUCCACGACUAGUACAAUUAGCAGAUGAGUUUGCCAAGGAGUUGGACAGUAAGCAAGGUUCACUUGUCGCAAUAAAUACAUUCGCAUAUGCGUUGAGAAUGAACCUCAGUGUUCAGUUUUGGCGUUGCUUAUUUGACAAGGGGGUAAGAUACGUUAAAAGAAACCUCUCCAUACAUGGUGUACACCCAAGUAUGCUUAUAGAACAAGGCCAUCCAGUGGACAUCACGGACUUCGCCUUGCAUCCACUUACCAUGACAAGUAAUGUUCAAAUCAAGGAGGAAUCACCAAGUGUGACAUUGGUGGAACUUCUGGCAGAUCCUAGUGUUACACCGGAAGGAGACUUCCAUCUAGUUGCAUGGGAAUCAAGGAUACCGCCUCAUAAAUCAUUUGUUCAUUUUGUUACAAGUCGUGCUCAGGAUACACAUGAAGGUAGUAGUGCCUUGCCAGGGAGGAAGCGACGAGGAGUGCCGAUCUAA